rnacentral:rRNA from 1 species
CUCAGUAACACGUAGUCAACCUACCCUAUGGACGAGGAUAAUCUCGGGAAACUGAGCAUAAUACUCGAUAGAUCAUAAUGCCUGGAAUGGUUUAUGGUUGAAAUGAUUCGUUCGCCAUAGGAUGGGACUGCGGCCUAUCAGCUUGUUGGUGAGGUAAUGGCCCACCAAGGCGAUUACAGGUACGGGCUCUGAGAGGAGAAGCCCGGAGAUGGGUACUGAGACACGGACCCAGGCCCUAUGGGGCGCAGCAGGCGAGAAAACUUUGCAAUGUGCGAAAGCUCGACAAGGUUAAUCCGAGUGGUUUCUGCUAAAGGAACCUUUUGUUAGUCGUAAAACCACUAACGAAUAAGGGGUGGGCAAGUUCUGGUGUCAGCCGCCGCGGUAAAACCAGCACCUCAAGUGGUCAGGAUGAUUAUUGGGCCUAAAGCAUCCGUAGCCUGUUCUAUAAGUCUCCGGUUAAAUCCAUCAACUCAAGUGAUGGGCUGCCGGAGAUACUGCAGAACUAGGGAAUGGGAGAGGUAGACGGUACUCGGUAGGAAGGGGUAAAAUCCUUUGAUCUAUUGAUGACCACCUGUGGCGAAGGCGGUCUACCAGAACAUGUUCGACGGUGAGGGAUGAAAGCUGGGGGAGCAAACCGGAUUAGAUACCCGGGUAGUCCCAGCUGUAAACGAUGCAGACUCGGUGAUGCGUUGGUAUGUUACUAGCGCAGUGCCGCAGGGAAGCCGUUAAGUUUGCCGCCUGGGAAGUACGUACGCAAGUAUGAAACUUAAAGGAAUUGGCGGGGGAGCACCACAAGGGGUGAAGCCUGCGGUUCAAUUGGAGUCAACGCCUGAAACCUUACCCGGAGAGACAGCAGAAUGAAGGUCAAGCUGAAGACUUUACCAGACAAGCUGAGAGGUGGUGCAUGGCCGUCGUCAGCUCGUGCCGUGAGAUGUCCUGUUAAGUCAGGUAACGAGCGAGAUCCCUGCCUCUAGUUGCCACCAUUACUCUCAGGAGUAGUGGGGCGAAUUAGUGGGACCGCUGCAGUUAAUGCGGAGGAAGGAGGGGGCAACGGCAGGUCAGUAUGCCCCGAAACUCUGGGGCCACACGCGGGCUGCAAUGGUAGUGACAAUGGGUUCCAAAAUCGAAAGAUUGAGGCAAUCCCCAAAC